AAUCUAUGGUACGAGCAUUUUUGAAUCAACAUUUUGAAGCGUUCCUACACCUCAUAAAAACUUUCUCCUUUCAUUUGUUUGAAGACAACGAUCUUUCUUCUUAGUUG
rfam:Gossypium hirsutum cultivar TM-1 chromosome 6, whole genome shotgun sequence